rnacentral:rRNA from 1 species
UACGACUACAUAUCAGGCAUAUCAAUAAGCGGAGGAAAAGAAACUAACAAGGAUUCCCUUAGUAACGGCGAGUGAAGCGGGAAGAGCUCAAAUUUGAGAUCUUCAAGGUUUUACCUUGACGAAUUGUAGUUUAAAGAAGUGUUUUCUGUUGGAGUUUUCGGUAAAAGUUCUUUGGAAUAGGACAUCAUAGAGGGUGAGAAUCCCGUAUUUGGACCAUUACUUCCAGCUGUUGUGAUACACUUUCAAAGAGUCGGAUUGUUUGGGAAUGCAGUCCAAAAUGGGUGGUAAAUUUCAUCUAAAGCUAAAUAUUGGCGAGAGACCGAUAGCGAACAAGUACCGUGAGGGAAAGAUGAAAAGAACUUUGAAAAGAGAGUUAAACAGUACGUGAAAUUGUCAAAAGGGAAGCGUUUGACACCAGUGUUGUUUUCUCGAAAAUCAAUUAAAAAGUAUGGGAUUUUGUAUUGUUAAGACCUUAUCAGCUUACGGUACUUUUUUCUUAUUCUUUUUAAUGCACUUUUCGUUUAACAAGUCAACAUCAAUUUCUUUUGUUGUAAAAGAGUCAUUGGAAGGUGGCUUUCACUUCGGUGAAAGUGUUUAUAGCCUUUGGCUUCUGCAAUCGGAGAGAUUGAGGUCUGCAGCGUAGAUCCUUCGGGGUUAGAUACGUAGAUGCUAAGUUAUAGUUUUUCAUAGACAACUUGUUGACUAUGAUUAAUCAUGUAGCUUACUCGUUUGCGCUAUUUUACCUACGCUUAGGAUAUUGAAUCUGUGCGAGACUAC